UACGAAGGGGGCUAGCGUUGCUCGGAAUCACUGGGCGUAAAGGGUGCGUAGGCGGGUCUUUAAGUCAGGGGUGAAAUCCUGGAGCUCAACUCCAGAACUGCCUUUGAUACUGAGAAUCUUGAGUUCGAGAGAGGUGAGUGGAACUGCGAGUGUAGAGGUGAAAUUCGUAGAUAUUCGCAAGAACACCAGUGGCGAAGGCGGCUCACUGGCUCGAUACUGACGCUGAGGUGCGAAAGCGUGGGGAGCAAACAGG
rnacentral:rRNA from 1 species